UGCUACAGUUAUCUCAACUUGCUUAUUCAUGUUCUGUAGUGCUGGCUUCACAACAGACCAGCUUCCGUCCUCAUUCACAGCAAUUUCCCUCAAGAGUACUGCAUCAGGUUCUGAAGGUGGACGGUCAUACACACCCAAAACAUCUGUAAGAAAAACAACAUAUUCAGGUUUCAAGUAGGCUGCAAGAUGGCGUAUAAUGACAUCACCACUCAAUAUGGUGCAUUCCUGUAACUCAUCGAGUACAGCAUCUCCAUGUAGAACAGGUACAA
rnacentral:misc_RNA from 1 species